CCGUUCAUGUGGCCUAGUGUUUAGAGCGUCCGCCUCGGAUGCGGAAGUUCGUGGGUUCGAUCCCUGAUCAAGUAGU